UCUGGGUGUGGUGGUGCCCACCUGUAGUCCCAGCUGCUCGGGAGGCUGAGGCAGGAGGAUCGCUUGAGCUCAGGAGGUCUGCGGUGAGCUGUGAUUGCACCACUGCACUCCAGCCUGGGUGACAGAGUGACACCUUGUCUCUA
rnacentral:SRP_RNA from 1 species